rnacentral:rRNA from 1 species
CCUACGGGUGGCAGCAGUGGGGAAUAUUGGACAAUGGGCGAAAGCCUGAUCCAGCCAUGCCGCGUGUGUGAAGAAGGCCUUCGGGUUGUAAAGCACUUUCAGUGGGGAAGAAAGCCUUGGGGCUAAUACCCUCGAGGAAGGACAUCACCCACAGAAGAAGCACCGGCUAACUCCGUGCCAGCAGCCGCGGUAAUACGGAGGGUGCGAGCGUUAAUCGGAAUUACUGGGCGUAAAGCGCGCGUAGGCGGUCUGAUAAGCCGGUUGUGAAAGCCCCGGGCUCAACCUGGGAACGGCAUCCGGAACUGUCAGGCUAGAGUGCAGGAGAGGAAGGUAGAAUUCCCGGUGUAGCGGUGAAAUGCGUAGAGAUCGGGAGGAAUACCAGGGGCGAAGGCGGCCCUCUGGACUGACACUGACGCUGAGGUGCGAAAGCGUGGGUAGCAAACAGGAUUAGAUACCCUAGUAGUC